UAUGGACAAUACUAUAUUUCUAUAAUCAUGUGAUAAGACAAUCUUACCCACCAAAAGGAAAAAUAGUAAUUAUUUUACAUCAAUUGGCAUGGUAUUUCUGAAUUUUUUUGUAAAUAAAAAAUAAAAUAUAUUGUUGUCCAUAUAAAAGAAUGAAUGUAUAUUUAUCUGCCCAUGACUAAGUCAUCUCUUCAUCAUAUUCAACUCUUAUUUGAGCUUUGAAUGUUUUAAUAGUUCAAGGCAUUAAAAUCAUAGUUAUAACUAUAUAAGUAUUUUCUUUUAUAUAUAUCCCUAAAUCCCUUAAAACUUACUUUACUCAAGUUUGAAACAGGGUCCUCCCACUACAAACUCUACAAUUUUUUUGGAGACAUAAAGUUUGGCAUAAGUAUAGUCACUACACCAAACACCCAUUUCCAUUGUAAGCUAAUUGAAAAAGUAUUGUACAAUCAAACUAAAAAUAAAAUUAUAGAAAGAGUAUUAUAUUGGAGUGAAACCAAAAAAAAAGGGUUGUACUUAUUUUUUGAAAGCGUACUAAAUUGUAAAAAGUAAAAGCAUUUUCUCUACUCCUCUCCAUUGAAAAAAAAGAACUAUUUUCACUCUCUUGCACAUACAUGAUAUUGCUUCUCUCAACUCCGGUAACCAAGCUCUCACGCAUGGACUUGUGGUCAUCUCUCUCAAAUCCAGUAGCCGUAUUUUCUUCUUUGGAAACAUUUUCAUGGGUGGUAAUCUGUGGAGCAGCUGAAAUCAAAUGUUCUUUCAGGUACUUAAUGUGUAAACCGGUGCAUAUGGAUAUAGGAUGUAUCACUUGUGUUAUUGUUAAAGAAACAUCCCUAGAAGGAUUUCGAGGGAGUACUUUGUAUUCUGUUUUGCAGCCUAUGCUUCAACAACUAGGGAAGCAAAAUUCUCAUCUAGUGCGUCUUGUACAAGAGCAUUAGGUAUAUUGAGAUGUCUUUUUGGAGCAAUGCUAGACAAUAUUUGUAGUUAGGUCUUUAGAAUUAAAACAUGUAUUGAACACGAGUUUCAUGCUUCGAAUUAUCUAGUGGAAAAAGAAAAAACUCUAACAAAGAAUGAGCCAAUAGCUCAUUUGUUUUGAAUCAGGAAACAUUUCAAAAUCUGUUAGAAUAUAUGUUAUGGUUUGCUAUGA